CACCACAAGAGCGUGGAGUAUGUGGCUUAAUUUGACUCAACGCGGAAAAGCUUAUCUGGUCCGGACACAGUGAGGAUUGACAGACAGUUAGACAGAAGUGAGGUUUUGGUAACAAUUGAGAGAGUUGAAGUUCUUUCAUGAUCUUGUGAGAGGUGGUGCAUGGCCGUUCUUAGUUCGUGUAGUGAUAUGUCUGCCUAAUCGCGUCACGAUAACCUAUUGGUCGACAACCCAAUUAUCACAACUGCAGCAUAACUCCCCUUGGGUGGGCGAGGCUCUGUGUAGGAUAGACCUCUGAACAGUACGCAACGAACGCGAUCGUAAUCCCUUGUUGAGUGGCCAUCCUGUAAGCUGCUGGAUUAGGAACCCAGUGGUAUUAUCUCAGCCACAGAUUUUCUGGUUGUAGUGGGCCAGUUUUGAAACUCGGGGAACAUCUGUGACUUUCUUUCUUAACGCAGAGGAAGGUUAU
rnacentral:rRNA from 1 species